ensembl:miRNA ocu-mir-448 ocu-mir-448
GAACAUCCUGCAUAGUGCUGCCAAGAAAUCCCUAUUUCAUACCAAGAGGGGGCUGGCUGGUUGCAUAUGUAGGAUGUCCCA